rnacentral:misc_RNA from 1 species
UAAGAAGAAGCUUUGCUACUUCCAACGCCGAUACAAGGUGACCCAUACCAGAGGCGGGGACGAACACGAGCUGUGCUUUCUCCAUUUUAGUAUUGAUAAAACCUUCUUAAUUUUGCUGCCAAGUAUAGAAGAUGAGGAUGAUGGUGAUGAGCUUGAGGUAUUUCUAGCUGCAGUACUGCAUUUUGGUGGGUAUAAGACAAUGGUGGGUAUAAGACAA